GUGGAGAGAUUUGUGGUGGUGGUAGUUUGCGUGGUAACUUCAGUCCAUGGUAAACAUAAGGAGCCCUGUUUAAUAGAAAGAAUCCCCUGUACUCGACAACAAGCUCUGGAUCACCGGCCACCAGGAACUCAUAGCUAAACAACGAUAGGAGGGAUAAACAAAGCACUAGGUUUUUUAAGAGAAGUUGGAAACCAUUACUUUCAUUUCCUUUUAUUCACUACGAAAACCAUAUCUCUCAGUUAAAGGAAUAAGUAUCGUCCUCGGAACUCUGCUGCAAACUCAAGGCUAGGG